UACAGGGGGUGCGAGCGUUGUCCGGAAUCACUGGGCGUAAAGGGCGCGUAGGCGGCUUGAUAAGCGUGCGGUGAAAGCCCGGGGCUCAACCCCGGGUCGGCCGUGCGAACUGUCGAGCUGGAGCACUGUAGAGGCAGGUGGAAUUCCGGGUGUAGCGGUGGAAUGCGUAGAGAUCCGGAAGAACACCGGUGGCGAAGGCGGCCUGCUGGGCAGUGGCUGACGCUGAGGCGCGACAGCGUGGGGAGCAAACAGG
rnacentral:rRNA from 1 species